rnacentral:rRNA from 1 species
GGAUCCAGACUUUGAUCAUGGCUCAGGAUGAACGCUAGCUACAGGCUUAACACAUGCAAGUCGAGGGGAAACGACAUCGAAAGCUUGCUUUUGAUGGGCGUCGACCGGCGCACGGGUGAGUAACGCGUAUCCAACCUGCCCACCACUUGGGGAUAACCUUGCGAAAGUAAGACUAAUACCCAAUGACGUCUCUAGAAGACAUCUGAAAGAGAUUAAAGAUUUAUCGGUGAUGGAUGGGGAUGCGUCUGAUUAGCUUGUUGGCGGGGUAACGGCCCACCAAGGCAACGAUCAGUAGGGGUUCUGAGAGGAAGGUCCCCCACAUUGGAACUGAGACACGGUCCAAACUCCUACGGGAGGCAGCAGUGAGGAAUAUUGGUCAAUGGGCGAGAGCCUGAACCAGCCAAGUAGCGUGCAGGAUGACGGCCCUAUGGGUUGUAAACUGCUUUUAUAAGGGAAUAAAGUGAGUCUCGUGAGACUUUUUGCAUGUACCUUAUGAAUAAGGACCGGCUAACUCCGUGCCAGCAGCCGCGGUAAUACGGAAGGUCCGGGCGUUAUCCGGAUUUAUUGGGUUUAAAGGGAGCGUAGGCCGGAGAUUAAGCGUGUUGUGAAAUGUAGACGCUCAACGUCUGCACUGCAGCGCGAACUGGUUUCCUUGAGUACGCACAAAGUGGGCGGAAUUCGUGGUGUAGCGGUGAAAUGCUUAGAUAUCACGAAGAACUCCGAUUGCGAAGGCAGCUCACUGGAGCGCAACUGACGCUGAAGCUCGAAAGUGCGGGUAUCGAACAGGAUUAGAUACCCUGGUAGUCCGCACGGUAAACGAUGGAUGCCCGCUGUUGGUCUGAAUAGGUCAGCGGCCAAGCGAAAGCAUUAAGUAUCCCACCUGGGGAGUACGCCGGCAACGGUGCAACUCAAAG